ensembl:lncRNA
GGUCCUCUGAGCUUGAUCGUGUUUGGCAUCUCAUGAGUGGAACUUCACAGCCCUGCAAUUGACACCAUGUUAAGUACAGUGGGGGCUGUUUAAUUUCCUAGUGCCUGAUUUUCAGAAAUGCUGAGUUUGGAAUCCGUUGAAACUGGAGGCUCAGCACCUUGGGUGGAGGGGUGGGAGAGAAGAAAAGUCAGACCCCUGAUUGUUUGGGGUGAGCCACCUUCUUGUAGAAAUCCCCAGGAUCACUGACCACACCACUGCAGUUGAGGUUGUUAGGGGUGGAGAGACUGAUCACAGAAAUAACCGCAUAUAUCUGGGCNNNNNNNNNNCUAACUGGUGUCUCAGCUCAAAGGCAUCUCUAUCUCCGGCUGAAAAUCAGGGUUGAACAAAGGAGCAGUCUGAGAAAGGCACAGUCAAGAUGUUUGAAAAACUCCAGAAUAUGUAGUUCAGAACCGUCGCAUUCUUCAGUGCAAGGGGAGCAGGAAUAGAAGAUCUCCGUGUGAAGUGGAUUUCUGAAGUGGCUCCAGACCGUGGUGAAAGGAUGGCUGGGCCCCAUCUGCCCCCCUUCACUGCCGCCCUGGGACUGGCAUUGCUUGGUGUCCUGGUCUUCCUCUCAGCCCUGUGUGCUGCCUGCAGAAGGAAAGCUAGGAAGAAGGUGGUCCCACCGGAUGGGGUGAAGCUGGUAGAUGUGUCGUUGCUGAGGCAGAUGCAGCUCCGAUCGCUCAGUAAAUCUGACACCAAACUGCAUGAGCUCAACAGGGUGAAGCGCACGGACGAGCACCAAAGACCAGCCAGCGUGGAUUUCCUUUACCCAUCAGGGUCUUUGGGGGAUGGAGAAGGAGCCGUGCAUAGCUCGAGCUUCAGCAUCCUGCUGCACCGAGAGCUGCCCCAGAUCCCCAAUUCCAACCCUUCGGCUGACGCCCUGAGUCCUGACCAGACCUACUCAAACGUGUCCUUCUUAGCCCCGCUGAAACCAGCCCCGGAGGCGCUGUACGAGUGUGCGGCCGUGACUCAGGAAGGGCCUCAACCGAUGCCCAUCUUGGGAACCCCAAUGGAGGCUUCCCCUCUAAGCGAGGAGGACAAGGCAGUGACGGCUGAGUAUGCCUGUGUCCGCAAGGUGAAGAAGAAUUUCCAGCCAGAGCUCCAGGAUGAGACACAGGGCGAAUCCUCCGUGGGGCCUGCAGACCCAGAAGGCUGGGAAGGAGCUGCCUGUAACCCCGCAGCGGUGAAGGUAGAAGAAAUGUACUCGACUGUGUGCAAAGCUGGAAAGAAGAAGAAACACCAAGGCUCUGCUCUGUCCCCCUCUGAAGGAAUGGACACUGGGGAGACGGGCCAAGGAGAACAGGGGUGGCCAGCCGCCCAUCUCAGACAUGUCAGGGUGGGGUAUCAGUCCACACCGGGCCGAGUCUUACUCACUGAGCCCUGCUAUGAGUCUAUCAAGGAUGGAUCCUGGACUGAGCAUGGCAGGAACCCAGCCCCAGAACCGGCCUACGAGGCAGUAGAUGUCAAAUGGAAAAAGCCCAAGAGAAGGGACAAGUCUACCAAGAACUGCCCCACCGAGAACUUGUAUGAAAGUAUCAGCGAAAUGUGGGAAGGGGACCCUAGGAACACAGCUACCCUGGCAGCUCCCAAUGGGUUGGAGAUAUACGUAACAGACUUAUAACGCCUUAUGUAUAGCUGCCCCCUUCCUGGGAAGGUCUGUGCUCCUCC